GCCGUCGUGGGCCAUGGGCCAGUUCCGAAACUUACGUUGCAUAGAUCUUGAGCGGGGCAGAUGGAGGUUCGAUCCCUCCCGACGGCA